rnacentral:rRNA from 1 species
GACGGAGGGGGCUAGCGUUGUUCGGAAUUACUGGGCGUAAAGCGCGCGUAGGCGGCGCAUUAAGUCAGAGGUGAAAGCCCGGGGCUCAACCCCGGAAUUGCCUUUGAGACUGGUGUGCUUGAGUACGGAAGAGGUGAGUGGAAUUCCCAGUGUAGAGGUGAAAAUUCGUAGAUAUUGGGAAGAACACCAGUGGCGAAGGCAACUGACUGGGCCUGAUCUGACACUGAGGUGACAGA